rnacentral:rRNA from 1 species
CAGCCGCCACGUUAAUACGUAGGUGGCAAGCGUUGUCCGGAAUUAUUGGGCGUAAAGCGCGCGCAGGCGGCCUCUUAAGUCUGAUGUGAAAGCCCCCGGCUCAACCGGGGAGGGCCAUUGGAAACUGGGAGGCUUGAGUAUAGGAGAGAAGAGUGGAAUUCCACGUGUAGCGGUGAAAUGCGUAGAGAUGUGGAGGAACACCAGUGGCGAAGGCGACUCUUUGGCCUAUAACUGACGCUGAGGCGCGAAAGCGUGGGGAGCAAACAGGAUUAGAUACCCGCGUAGUCCCUGUCUCUUAUAC